ensembl:lncRNA
GGUGGGAGGAACCCUCUCUGGAGACCCUGCCACAUGACAGACUUGCUGCUCUUCCCACAGCCGCCUUCUGCGGCCUGGCCGGGCUUCCAAUGCGUUAUACACAGAGUUUGGGUGCACGCUGCCUGUUUUUGACGGAUGCUGCCCUUCCUCCACAAUGCCAGAAGUUUUUCCACAGCCUUGGAGAGGGGCUUUGACAGAGGGCUCGGGCCCUGGGCUCCGUUUCCUUCACAUUCCAGCUGGUCCGGAUCCCUCUGUGGCCACAGGGUCCUGCCCCCAUCACCCUGCCUUCUGGGUGACACUGGAGCAGAUGUCCAUGUGGCUAGUGUGGGAUUGGGAGAACUUUACAAACAUUAGGACCUAACACUGUCUUCAUCACUGAAACAAGAGGCCAUAGCACCGAAAAGCAGCGUGGGCACCAGCUGAGGCUUCUCCCAGCCCAUGGGUGGCCGCGUGCUAGCACGCCCACCACCAUCUUCAAAGCCAUCCUCCUCAGUCAUCGUGAGCAUCCCAGCGGCACCGCCAUUGUCUUGACCAGCCGACUCCUCAUUUGUACACCUGGGAAUUUCUUUUGAUUUCAAGAACAGCCUUAAUCAUUUCAGUUUGAUUUAAGUGUAUACCUCAUAAACAUUUUUCUUUUGUUUCUCCCCAUCCUUUCCUCUCUUUUCUCUCUCAGCUCACCUCCUCGCCUCUCCCUUCCCCCAUCACCUUGUGACUGAUGGUUUGGUUUCCUCUCUGCUCUGCCCCUGCUCAGCACAGGGAGAAUGUUGACUUAGAAGCAAUAGUGGGCAGCAGGCCACCAAGAGCACAACCCCAGGGCAGGGUCUAGGGAGGCCCCUCAGCCCGCCUCUGUUUACCGUGCAACUCCAGUCCUUCUUAAGCCAUCACCAGUGGACGUGCUCAGAGCAGAGGGACCAGGGCUUCUGCCAGCCGAGGGAAGGGCCCAGAGCCCUGCAUAGGGGAGUAUGGUGCUGUCCAUCCACCUGGUGGACUGGGCAGUGUUCUUCCCCCGGGCCUUUCCCUUGGGGGUCUCCCUUCAUCUUGGGCACAGCCACAAGUCUCAUCUCUAACGUUCUAUGCAAUGAAAUAUUAACCCUCAAAGACAACUGUUAAUAUUUAAUAAAUUCCAUGUUAUGUAUAAGGAGUUAAUUGCAAACAUGCAAUUGAGAAACUGGAUAGAUAUGCGCAUAUCAAAGCCCUCACACCCUCCCCCUGCCCCCAAGGACUCGCUGCUGCCAGGCGAGUCACCACCGCCUGUCCCGCAGUGGAGCAUGCACAGCUCGCAGCCUCUUUGCACGAUUUCAUCCAUUUUAAAUGCUCAACCCUCUUGCUUGGAGUUUUGUUUUUGUCUCAGACUCUCUCCUUCAGGAGUGCUUCUAGCUGGCUUCUGCACAAGCUGGUGAGGACCUGCUGGAGUUGCUGCCCAAGCAUGCCAGGCCGGGGGCCAGGCCGUGCAAGGCCCCACACACCCUGUGGGUUUCUCUGACCAAGGAGUCUUUGGAGGAGACUUGCCGAUGGGAUUCCGCACAGGAUAUGUGUGUGUGUGUGUGUGUGUGUGUGUGAACAUUCGGAAGAUUUGCUGUGGCUGCCUCUUCCCAGCAGGGCACUGCUCAAGGGCAGAGCUGGGCCGUGUCUGUAGCCAGAGAGGCUAAGGGCAGGGCCUGGCCGUGUCCUAAGACCCGAGCUCAUGACUGCACCUGCUCCAUACCUCUCCUCUGUGGCUGGGGCCAGGGGGCCAGAGGGUUCUCAGGAAGAGCUGGACCUUUGGCAUUUAGGGCAAGGACAGCUGACAGUGUCAUCUUUAAUCAGAGUGGGUGUUUACAUAGGCAGUGGCUUCAAGCUGAGCUUCUUGAGAAGCUUCUUAAUAACAAAACUUACAGAAGGUUCUAUUGUGACACUCUCUGCAUCUGUCCCCAGGACCUAAACUCCCUACCAGCCCCCAUUUCUGAAGCCUCAGUAUCCCACUGCUCAUCAGCUUCUCCACAACUGAGCUGAGAGUGCGGCAGGCAGCAGCUGCCUGAUCCCUCCAGGCUUGGCCUCCUUCCAGAGUGCUCUGGUUUGCACUAUGCAUUUCUCAGGGGUCCACAUUUCUCAUGCUUUCCUAUAAGGUCUACAAACUCCUUCAGAGAGGGAUCCUAGCCCAGCUCUGGCAGCUGUGGAUGAGAUAGGAAGCUAUAAACCCCUGUGUUGGGCCCCAGGCCCUGCCCUUCUGGAUUUGGGCUUUACCCAUCUAGUGGAACACUUGCCUCAUCCCAGAAAUCAGGCCUGGGCCGUAUGAGGCCAUCUGUGCAAGGGCUGGGGGAGGCCACCAUCCAACACCUCUGACCACCUGGGCCAGAUCUUUGUGGGGAUUAUGCCUGGUGGCUGGAUACAUGAGCAACUAAGGCAGUGAUCCUUCCUACAGAAGGCC